GACGAACGCUGGCGGCGUGCUUAACACAUGCAAGUCGAGCGAUGAAUUUUCUUCGGAAAUGGAUUAGCGGCGAACGGGUGAGGAACACGUGAAGAAUCUGCCCUCCACUUUGGGAUAACACAGGGAAACCUGUGCUAAUACCGAAUAUUGAAACAUAAGUGGCAUCACUGAGUUUUGAAAGAAUUUCGGUGGAGGAUGACUUCGCGGCCUAUCAGCUAGUUGGUGAGGUAAUGGCUCACCAAGGCAACGACGGGUAGCCGGCCUGAGAGGGCGAACGGCCACACUGGGACUGAGACACGGCCCAGACUCCUACGGGAGGCAGCAGUGGGGAAUAUUGGGCAAUGGAGGAAACUCUGACCCAGCGACGCCGCGUGCGGGAUGAAGGCCUUCGGGUUGUAAACCGCUUUCAGUAGGGAAGAAGCGAAAGUGACGGUACCUACAAAAGAAGCACCGGCUAACUAUGUGCCAGCAGCCGCCGUAA
rnacentral:rRNA from 1 species